GGGUGGAGCCCUCAUGAGUUAGUCCCCUAAAAGAAGAGGCCAGAGAACCAGCUCACCCUACUUUUUCCACUUAAGUAACACAGUACUCUGUAGACCAGGAAGAGGAUGUUCACCAAGAACUCAAUCCUGCUGGAAACCUGAUCUCAGACUUCCAGACUCCAAAACUCUCCUGCCAUGUGACAUGCCUGCUCCCCCUUCACCUUCCACCAUAAUUGAAGGCUUCCUGAGACCUCACCAGAAGCUGAGCAGAUGCCCACACCAUGCUUCCUGUACACCUUCAGAACCGUAGUGCAAAAUUCCACAUCCACAAAACCCACCUGGCCAGUGAUGGCUUGGGUAAGGACGGAGAAUGCAGUGGGAUCAGAACCCUACAGUGGGCAUGAAGAGGAGAAAAAACAAAUUCUGAAAUCACCAUGGAAACACUACAGAGGAAAGGAGAGUAGAGGAGGAGGAGGAGAGAUAAAAUAUUUUAGAGAACAUUUAUAAACAUUCCUUGUAAAGUUGAUAAACAAUCUUUGAAAGACACAGAAUCCAAAAUACAUAUGAAGAUUAUGUGGAUUACAA